AUAGAAGAGACAUGUCCCAGUGAAUAAAACAUAGCCAUUUAUGAGAAUGCAUAUAUCAAUCAUUCACAAACUUCCCGCCCACACGUUUGGCAAACUUCUGCAUCGAUGGGAAAUGAUACAUGUAAUUAAUGCACACCGUUCCUUACGUUUACCACCGUUGCAUUUCUUAGUAGAUCCACUUAGUAUACCGUCGUCCCGGUUGACAGUGAAAAAUGUCAUUUCGAUGACAGCUCGUGUGACGGACAAGCAUGAAAAGCGACAAGUGUGCAUAUAUUUACCGUACUACAUGAUGGGGUGCAAAAAAAAGGAUAAAAAUACAACAAUUAUUUAUGUCCUCAUCGUAUAUUAGUAAAUGCACCGUACCAAAUCAAUAAUAACAUGUAAAAUUUGUUUAUUUCCUUUGAUGAAACGAAUUCCAUUUCAUUCACAUAGCGGACAUUUUCAUUCGAAUAAACUUUAAGAAAUAAUCCCAAAACGAUACGCACGAAAAAUAAAUCACUAUGUGUGAAAAAUAAUCAACAAUAUUGCAUGUAACAGGAUAAUAGGCAGGAAUGCAAUUUCGGCUUACCCCGCUUCUUCCCGAUCUGUGCAUCAUGCACUGUAGCGCAGCAACAACACCAAGAAAAAAUGUUAUCAAUCGACAGAACAGAAAAUAAAACAUAAAGUAAAUUGCAUAUCCACUAUCAUCACCAUUAGAGUUUGCUCAUGCUCGAGUGCAUGAUUUUCCAACCAUCUCGAUUCACCGACUCCGUGUUAGUUCUAUUUGAAUGAAUGGUCCUCUCCCCGGCUAUGGACAGAUUCAUUCGGGUUUAGUUCUUUUCUUUUUUCCUCCCUCCCUCUCUCUCUCUCUCUCUCUCUCUCUCUCUCUCUCCCUAUCUAUCGGUUGUAAUCCUUUUAUAUUUAUCCACAUAUUUGUCAACGAAUAAAACCAAAUAUCGAACAAAACGUUAUUUUUCGGUAAGCAACGGAGAAAGGAUUGCGCUAGAAUGGAUUUGUUUUCUGUCUCUUCUUUAUUUUCUUUGCACCAUUCAGAUGCAUUUUUGCAUCCGGUGCACUAGUGCAGAAUGCAACGUUUACCCAUCGAUUUUAGGCUCCAAAAAAAAAGGAGUAAAAGAAAGUAAAUAAAAGGAAAGCGACUAAAGCAAAACUCUACCGAACCACAUUCAUGGGAAAAUUGAAUAAAUUUGAUUACUUUCAAUUGCGUUUCGUGUACGUGACACCACCGUGGAAGUGAUGGGUACUAACGGAAGCAGUUUUACAAUUUAGAGCUAUUUAGAGUUGUACCUUUUUGGCAUAACAAAAGGGAUACGUAGGUUAGAAAUGAGGAAAUAUGAAUUAAAUUAUUUUGUUGUGUACUAAUGUACGCAUACCACAAUGAAGCGUACUGCAUGUAAUCAUUUCAAAACUUUAUUCACUUUACAGUGAAUCAGUCAAAACCAAACAGGAUAUUGAAGAUUUGACAAAUAAAGGUAAAGAUAACGAUAUGCAUGGAAAAAGCCAAAAUGCAGAGCAGCAAAACAAAACAACAACAAAAAACACAAGGUAACAUCAAUCGAAAAAGUACGAUCUGCUGUGACAGGUGAACCAAUAAUAAUGUAGAAAAAUGCAAAAUGAAAUAAAAACUCAUCACUUGAAGAGACAAACCGGUCAUACAGAUGAGGCGAAUCAGCGCAGCAAAUGAAAAACCGACAGUAGGAAAACGAUGGAGAGAAAAAAAACAGACACACAAAAUAGAACCAAACGAAAGAGCGCAAAAAAAGAAGAAGUUUACCAGAGUAGGCAUGUGGCAUGCUGUAGCAUCAAUUAUUCAAAUUUAUUUUAUUUCGUUUUAUGAGCGAAAAUUUUAUUUUAUUAUUUGAAUUUCAAAUGGAUAUGUAUAUAACAAUUCGCGAAUCCACAUACACACACCGGUCCAAAUCACUGAAUGUGACAAACUGCUGACCGAAUCCAGGCGAAAUCCAAGUACGAACAAACUGGGAAAGAAUGGGCGGGCGAACCAUCGCGUUUGGGAAAAGCAAAAAUGCGUUUGCAAAUGAAAAUUCAAAUUACGAAAUGGCGGUAAAUCGUAUGUGUGGGAAAAAUGGGCACAAAACCAACAGAAAAAAAGAAUCCUAGCGAUCUCCAUGUUUCGAACCACCACAAUCGAACGCCAAAGUGAAGGAAAGCCGGGGGAAAGCGUAUCAUCAUCAGUAGCGAAGAGGAAUCAAGUUUACCUGAUAAGUGGUGGCAAAAACAACAAAAAAAACCUGGAUGAGGAUGUGGUACGGUACACACAUGAAAUAUUCAAUCAUUCGUGCAUUCUAGCGAAUCCAAAUAAAAUAUGCCACAGUUAGUGAGCUAUUAAAAUAGAA